GCGAGAGUGGCGGAAUUGGCAUACGCGCUAGAUUUAGGAUCUAGUGAGGAAACUCAUGCGGGUUCGAGUCCCGCCUCUCGCACCA
rnacentral:tRNA from 1 species